CAAAGCCAAUUAAUGCAGAUAAAAGAUUUUUUUAUGUGCCCUAUCCAAUGUACUUAAAGGAAAAAUCCUUGCUGUGAAGCAGUUCUCAGGUGCACAUUAGACAGUUACAUAUUGCUAGUUCUACUUAACUGCAUUAGAUUUAAAGCAAGAGGUUCCACUUUCAUGAAAUUGGUAGAGAUGAUGUUGCUUACUGAAUGACCCACUUAAGUCAUUUAGCAAAGGAAAAGAAUCAGUAACUAGUGUCUUAAUUGUACAAGUUUCAUAUCUACAAAUCUGAGCCUGGAGACUGUGGCAUCCCUGCAUCUGUUUCCCCUUGAAUUUUUUUUUUUUUUUAACCAUAAUAAGUUGUCUAUUUUAAAGUUAAAAUUUCCAUCAGCUGCAUAGAUGUGAAGAAUGCCAUGUUGGUUUGCAGUAACAGCACAGAAAAGUGUAACAUCUUUUCUUGUUUUCUAUCUUCUCUUUUCUAGGUUUGAAAAACAAAAGCUGCUUGCAGGAACUGAAGAGCCGUUGCACACUCUUGGUCUUCACAGCUGUAUUUCUACGUUCAGGGGCCCAUGUGCAUGGUCCCAGGCUCACAAUGUUUCAGGGAUGAAUAUCUGCUGGUGAAGUUGUCCUGUAAUCAGGAGAAAUGCUGCUGGAAAACAACUACUUCUGCCUUCCUUGAGACGGAUCUCUGAUCAGCUGCCAACGUUUGUAAAUGACUAGUAAGGCUUUAAAAGAUAGCAUCUCAUCUGGAACAUUCCCAGACCUAAGUGGAGGCAAUGGUCCAUAUAUCCUGCAUGCAAGUUCCUGAGGCCAGGCAGCUCACUUAGACAUAAUCUGUCUAGAAAGAUCUACCACUCUGGAUCAUGUUCUGUUCGCACAAAUGCUUCUCACUUCAUGCAUUUCACAUCCACUCCCAUAAGAGCUUUUGGAAAGCAAACACUGCAGUCUUACCUGAGGAGAAUCUGACAUUCCUGACUCAGGAGAAUGGACUACAAAGAAAUUGCAAACUAGAAUAAAGUCCUCUGUGAAUAGUUUUUGAAUUUCUUGUGUCUGUUAUGUCUCUAUCAGGAACAUAGAACAUGCUACCAUUUGCUUAAGAAAAAAGUUGUGUGUUGAAUGAACUAGACAGUUUUUCUUUUGUAAAGCCAAAUUAUUUAAAAUCAGACAUUCAAAGAAAGAAAUUAAGAGAGGAGGUUUAUUGAAAAAUUUUCCAUUUUAUCCAGGUACUUAAAAAAGUUUAAUGGUAGGCAAUAGGAAAGUAACCUAAGUAUUACAGAAGUCAGCAAGGAGUCAACAAAGUUUGAGUUGUGCAAAGUAAGGACAGUAUCCUAUCACAGAUAUUGCUAUGAAAAAAAUAGCUGUGAAAAAAAUCAUCUCCCCUGCUAUUUCCCCCAAGAAAGCUAUUUGAAAGCUCUAUUAUAAGAAGCUAUUUGUGUGUAAAGAAGAAUGUCUGCCAAGAAAUACAAAUUAUUAUUACAAUUAUUAUGCAUAGUACAUCAGAAAAAUGGUUUGGUCUAAAUUCAUCCUGGGGUUAAUUCUAGCACCUAUUAAAGACUCUUAUCAAUAAUGUAUAAAGCCUACCCAUUGCUAAU